ACAUAACUGAUGCCUCCGCGUAUCGACUUUGUGCGCAUUUUAGCUAUUAUGUGUUCUUUUAAUUAAAAUGAUUCUUUUUAAGAUUCAUCUAUUAAAAAUUUGCUUCUGCAUAAUUUUUUUUGAUGAUCUUGUUACUUUGAGUAAAUUAGAGUGUUCAAAGCAAACAGAUAUAGCAUUUGUGCGUUUGAAUACUACAGCAUGGAAUAACAAAAUUGAACAAGUCAGAAUUUUUUUGUUCUUUUUUCUUAUUUUGGCUUAGUUACGAUUAAUAGGAGUAGCUUGGGGGCAUUUGUAUUCAGAUGUCAGAGGUGAAAUUCUUAGAUUUUCUGGAGACAAACAACUGCGAAAGCAUUUGCCUAAAAUACUUCCAUUAAUCAAGAACGAAAGUUAAGGGAGUGAAGACGAUCAGAUACCGUCGUAAUCUUAACCAUAAACUAUGCCGACUAGGCUUUGGAUGAAAGAUUUUAAAAUAAGAGUUUUUCUUUUCUCUCCGGAGAUUAGAACUCUUAGAUUGCUUCCUUCAGUGCCUUAUGAGAAAUCAAAGUCUUUGGGUUCUGGGGCGAGUAUUCGCGCAAGCGAGAAAGUUAAAAGAAUUGACGGAAGGGCACCACCAGGCGUGGAGCUUGCGGCUUAAUUUGACUCAACACGGGAAAACUCACUAGUUUAAGACAAGAGUAGGAUUGACAGAUUAAUAGCUCUUUCUUGAUUUCUUGGAUGGUGAUGCAUGGCCGUUUUUAGUUCGUGAAUAUGAUUUGUCUGGUUAAUUCCGAUAACGAACGAGAUCUUAACCUGCUAAUUAGCGGCAAAUACGAUAUAUUCUUAUGUAGAAUUGAAUAUAGUGGAUUUGUUAGAUUUUGAAGAAAAUAUUGGAAUUACGUUAAAUGUGAUUCCUUUCCCUUUUCUACUUAAUUUACAUUUCCAUCUAUUUCUUUUUUGCGUAUGAAUGUAUUUGCUUGAUUGUAAAGCUUCUUAGAGGAACGAUGUGUG
rnacentral:rRNA from 1 species